rnacentral:misc_RNA from 1 species
GAUGAAGAACGUAGCGAAAUGCGAUAAGUAAUGUGAAUUGCAGAAUCCAGUGAAUCAUCGAAUCUUUGAACGCACAUUGCGCCCGCCAGCAUUCUGGCGGGCAUGCCUGUUCGAGCGUCAUUUCAACCCUCGACCUCCCUUUGGGGAAGUCGGCGUUGGGGACCGGCAGCACACCCCCGGCCCUGAAAUGGAGUGGCGGCCCGUCCGCGGCGACCUCUGCGUAGUAAUCCAACUCGCACCGGAACCCCGACGCGGCCACGCCGUAAAACACCCAACUUCUGAACGUUGACCUCGAAUCAGGUAGGACUACCCGCUGAACUUAAGCAUAUCAAUAAGCGGAGGA